rnacentral:rRNA from 1 species
GACGAACGCUGGCGGCGUGCUUAACACAUGCAAGUCGAACGGAAAGGCCCUUUCUUUGUUACACGAGCGGCGGACGGGUGCGUAACACGUACGUAAGCUGCCCCCAACUUUGGGAUAACGCUAGGAAACUGAAACUAAUACUGUAACUGUACUACUUCUUGAUGCGGGGGGUUGGAAAGCUACGGCGGGUGUGGAUGGACUCGCGGCCUAUCUGCUUGCUGGUGGGGUAGUGGGCUACCAAGGCGGCGUCGGGUGGCCCGCCUGAGUGGGUGACCGGCCAUAUUGGGACCGAGGUAAGGCCCCGACUCCUACGGGAGGGCGCAGUGGGGAAUCUUGCACAAUGGGCGCAAGCCUGGUGCAGAAACGCCGCGGGCGGGAUGACGGCCUUAGGGUUGUAAACCGCUUUCAGCAGGGACGAAGCUUUUUGUGACGGUACCUGAAGAAGAAGCACCGGCUAACUACGUG